UACGGAGGGUGCAAGCGUUGUUCGGAAUUACUGGGCGUAAAGGGCGCGCAGGCGGCCUGCCAAGUCAGAUGUGAAAUGCCAUGGCUUAACCAUGGACGUGCAUUUGAAACUGGUGGGCUUGAGUACCAGAGGGGAAGGUGGAAUUCCCGGUGUAGCGGUGAAAUGCGUAGAGAUCGGGAGGAACACCAGUGGCGAAGGCGACCACCUGGACUGAUACUGACACUGAGGUGCGAAAGCGUGGGGAGCAAACAGGAUUAGAUA
rnacentral:rRNA from 1 species